rnacentral:misc_RNA from 1 species
UGAAAGAAUAGCUUUUCCAUUACUAUGAAUAGCUAUUGCAAUCCUACCCUAUUCCGUUCAAUGAAUUAUGAACACAAAGUAGUCCAAAGAUUUAACCUCGUUCGCAAGACAUCAGGCAUUGUUGUGAGAAAAUAAUGACAAUAACAUUUACUACCAUCAAGCAACGCAUGAUUUGUACAGGACAUUAAACAAUAAAACCAAAAAGAAAACAAACUCUUUUGAAUUGCGUACAGAACUAAUGAAGCAAAUCAUUUUAUCGUUUGACGUGUGAAUAGUCUAUAACUCCAGGACAAUUCAGAAGCCAUUUUCGGAUGCAGCCAUGCCAGGUGAGGACAGUCCAGAGCCAAUUAAGAAGAGCAGCAUCCAGACUUCUGGUUAACAGGUUGUCCACGUAUCUGCACAGUAGGUGACCUUGCAUUGUUUGCUGCUGGUUGACUUGCCAUCCUGUUCUUGAUGUCUGCAGCCAUUGCCAUAAAAGCCUGCUCCACAUUGGUAGAAUUUUUUGCACUUGUCUCCAUGAACGGAAUGCCAAUUUCAUCCGCAAAUGCCUUUUAAAACCCCAGGUAAAUAGUAGAGCACUCAUUAGUUGAAAUGCAGCAAGCAUAGCAAAAGGUGAUAAUAAGGAUAUUAGUUUUUACCUUGGCUGUUUCAUAAGAAACAACUUUAUUAGCAGUGAGAUCACACUUGUUGCCAACCAGAAGCUUGUUUACAUUUUCACUAGCAUAACGAUCAAUUUCAUUCAACCAUUGCUUAACAUUGUUGAAACUCUCUUGGUCUGUCACAUCAUAAACUAUCUGCCACAUGUGACAACAUUAACAAGCUGAAUCAUGGAACCAUGAGCACGAUGCCAAAAAUGUAAACGGGUAACAAACUCACUAUAAUGCCAUGUGCCCCACGGUAAUAGCUGCUCGUGAUUGUCCUGAACCGUUCUUGUCCAGCAGUAUCCCACUGCAAAGAACAAGGGAGAAACAUCAGUGACAUGAACAAGCUCUAAAUCUGCAUCAUGCUCCAGUAAUUACUUUCUAAUUAAUAAGCUCUAAGCACACAUGCUAGACAUGAUUGCAGAGGACAGAUUAGCUGAAAAAUAAAAGAAACAUCCAAUGAAAAGGAAAAUAGUAAUUAAAAGCAGAAGACAAACAUAUUCUGCCAGUUUAACUAAAUUAAAUUUCCAUGGAACACUAUUCUAAUCCCAAACCAAAAAGAAACAGGAAUACACAAUUCUGCACCCACAAGAAACAGAGAAAGUGAAUCUUACAAUUUGAAGUUUAAUGGUUUUCCCAUCUUGCUCCACGGUGCGAAUUUUCUAUUGAAUACAAAAUGAACUAAACAAUCAGCCACAUGUUUAAACAUAAGUAAUAUUUGUAAGAAUCCAAACUUCUCCAAAUGCUUACAAAGUCAACUCCAAUUGUGCUGAUGUAACUGUCCAGAUAUGAAUCAU